GUAAUUCUUUAGAUUAUUUAACUCUGUUCAAUGUUACACAAUCUAAUAUAAGUGUAAUAAAGUAUAAAAUAUUGUUUCGUUUAUUCCAGUAUAUAUUAGAAUAUUACAGUGGUGACGAGGAUUUCAUUGGAUAAAAAACGCGUAAACUAAAUUAUUAGUGUUCGCUGAAGUUAUUAUUUUUUUUUUAUAUAUUUUUAUUUAAUUUUCUUUUGUUACUGCAUUGGACCUUGGUAUGGCACCAAAAAAGGAUCCUACAUGUACGGAAAACCCUCCUCAGUCGCAUCUGAGUGUAGUUCUGGCGUAAGUAGGAUAUCUGUCGCUAUAGACACGGCGCCUAAGCAUAAGAUAGGCGAAGAUUGGAAUUUGUAAAUUGAAACAGCCUUUCAAUUUACAAAUUGAUUCAGCCAAUCAAUUUUUUUCUGUCAAAUUUCAUUAAAGAAUAGCGCAAGUUCCCCGUGCUAACCAUAGUUAUUGGAUCUAAAGCCUAUGCGGUGUUACGCGAAUUAUGUGAUCCGGUACUACCGCGCAUACUAUUUAAUAUAAAGUUUUAUGCAAUUUAUUGCAAAAAAAGCUUACUAUUUUUAGAGAGUGUAUUAAAUUUUACGAUUUAAAAAAAAAUAUAAGUGAGUGUAUGGUAUGUACGAAUUAAGAAAACAGCUAUGACAUGUCAAUUUGGCGCCAACUUAGUAGAAAAAGUGUAAGACAAGUUUGUCACUGGAAUGGUUAAAGGGCAUAUAUUAGUCAGGCUAUUUGAAGAAGAGUGUUGAAAAGAGAAGCUGCAGUUGCUCAAUCAGGUAAUGAAUCAAUAGUAGUCAAUAAAUUUCAGCAAGGUUAUAAGAGUAAAACCAAGAUAGCAAGAGGACAUGCCAGUAAUAAGAAAAAAAGUUUAUAAUGGUAAUUCUACCUGUAACCAUUGCGGUAAGGUUUUAUUUAUCAUCUUUAUAAAUGUAAGCUUUGUAAUAACCAUGGACACAUAACUAUUGUUUGUAAAAAUAAAAAUAGUUUCAGAAAUAUAGUAUUAAGCAGUAUUGAUAAUAAUGACAACAGUAAAUUUAGUAAGCUAAAUUUCUUUAACAUUAGUAUGUUAAAUUUUGUCCCUCUAAAAUUUGUAAAAGUAAGAAUUAAUAAUAUUAAGGUUAAAAAUGGAUAUGGAUUCUGAGGCAGCCAUGUCAGUAAUAACAGAUAACUUUUUUUUAUAAUUGGCAUUUUACAUUUUUUGAAGGUUCAGUUUUAGAACGAUUAGGUGACUUCAAGGCAAAAGUUGAAUUUAAAGGUAAAACUGUUAAUGGAAAUUUUGUUGUAAUUAAAAGUCGUAAAAGCACAUCCUAUAUUUAGAAGGGAUCUUAUGAAGUUUUUAAUGUAUCAUUUCAAUUGGUGGUGUUAUGAGUAAUGUUAACAACUUAAAUGUAGAAGAUAGAGUAGUUCAGUGAUGUUUUUGAAAACAAAUUAGGGGAGAAUAAAAAUUUUGAAAUCCACUUAGAGAUUGAGGAUGGAGUUAGCCCAUUAUUUUGUAAGCUCUGGUUGGAUUAGAUAAAUUAGAUGAGGCUAGUGUAAUUAAAAAAGUGAUGACUGUGUCUGGGGCACACCACUGGAAACGGUGCGAUGCGGAUGGUAAUAUAUGGCUAUGUGCAUAUUAUAAAACAACUAACAAUAAGUAUAUUAAUAAUGUACAUAACACAUUCCCAAGAAUUGGUGAAUUAUUCGCUAGUAUGCAAGGAGGAAAGAAAUUUACUAAAUUAGAUUUCAAAAAAGCUUACAAUCUACUAAAAGUUGAUCAGAAAACGAGCAAGUUGUUAGCAUAGAGUACACAUAAAGGUGUUUAUUAGAUGUUAAGGUAUAUGGUAUUAAACCUGCCACAUCCUGUUUUCAGUGGGAAGUCGAAAAGGUUUUCCAAAACUGUUCUUUCACUGCUUGUUUGUUGUUAAUUUGAUAUUUACUGGUACAAAUACUGAAGAACACAUAAAAAAUGUCAUAGAAGUCCUAAAACGUAGUAGGGAAGCUGUUUUCAAGCUGAAUAGAAGUAAAUGUGAAUUUAAGUCAACUGUCAAAUAUCUUGGUCAUAAUUGAUGAAGAAGGUUUAAAGGCUAAAAGAUAAAGUAUCAGAUAUUGUAAAGGUAUCAACACCAUCAAGCAUAACAGAAGUUAAAUCCUUCUAAGGAACUAUUUUUUGAGCACUAUUCGAAGGAUCUAUUAUUUCAUUACUUGGGUUUUGCUCAAUACCAUAUUUGACAUUUGUAAUUUCAUUGUUAGCUGGUGUAUCUGGAAGACAUUCUUUUAGACCAAGGAAAAAUGCUGCUUCUGGACAUUUAUCACCCAAUGCUAAAAGACCAAGAGCAUGACGUUCAAUGAGAGAAAUAGGUGGUAGGUUAGAAUUAUGAAAUUUACUUUCUGGAACAGUCUCAUCAGUGAACAACGAUCAGCUAGUUUAAUUCCAUUUUUGGUAUUGUGUAACCAACGCCAUUCAGCUUGUGCCAUGUGAAAAUGACAAAGAAAUUGUUUAGCAGAAGGCCAUACAGAGUGCAAUGAGUUUUUUUCUGCCCUAGAAUCGUCACUCAUAAAAACCAUAGGUGUCUGCAUAGAUUUUGCUGUUUAAAUUGGAAUAUUCAUAAAUAAAAGUUUUAUAAUCUGUAUAUAAAACAGUAUACAAAAUGUCUUACACUGUUGCCCCCAAAACAAAGAGGAAAAUUAUCUUUCAAUAAAGUAAAUGCAUUUGUGUAACUUCUUUCGGAUUCUCCAUCAUGAAUAAGUAUUGCUAUUGGUAUGGCUCCAGCUUUAGAUGGUGUUAAAAUAACCGU